rnacentral:tRNA from 1 species
ACUUUUAUUGGACAACAGCCGUCCGA